GCCCGAUAAGCUCAGCUGGUUAGAGCAUCGUACUAAUAGAAUCUCUGUGUUCUAUCAAGUCCAUGCGAAGGUUAGCAGUUCAAUCCUGGUAUUGGGCA